rnacentral:rRNA from 1 species
GAUGAACGCUGGCGGCGUGCCUAAUACAUGCAAGUCGAGCGAACGGACGAGAAGCUUGCUUCUCUGAUGUUAGCGGCGGACGGGUGAGUAACACGUGGAUAACCUACCUAUAAGACUGGGAUAACUUCGGGAAACCGGAGCUAAUACCGGAUAAUAUUUUGAACCGCAUGGUUCAAAAGUGAAAGACGGUCUUGCUGUCACUUAUAGAUGGAUCCGCGCUGCAUUAGCUAGUUGGUAAGGUAACGGCUUACCAAGGCAACGAUGCAUAGCCGACCUGAGAGGGUGAUCGGCCACACUGGAACGGAGCCACGGUCCAUACUCCUACGGGAGGCAGCAGUAGGGAAUCUUCCGCAAUGGGCGAAAGCCUGACGGAGCAACGCCGCGUGAGUGAUGAAGGUCUUCGGAUCGUAAAACUCUGUUAUUAGGGAAGAACAUAUGUGUAAGUAACUGUGCACAUCUUGACGGUACCUAAUCAGAAAGCCACGGCUAACUACGUG